rnacentral:rRNA from 1 species
GGAUAAUGUAAGAGAAUAUUUUUUUUACAAGUUUCUAUUGAUUGAGUUUAAUAGGGCUUGGAUUAUAACAACACAUUAUACAAUGGAGAGUUUGAUCCUGGCUCAGGAUGAACGCUAGCGGCAGGCCUAAUACAUGCAAGUCGAACGGGAUUUGGGAGCUUGCUCCUGAUGAGAGUGGCGCACGGGUGCGUAACACGUAUGUAACCUACCUUGAUCUGGGGGAUAGCCUCUCGAAAGAGAGAUUAACACCGCAUAACAUUAUCGGAUAGCAUUUUCUGAUAAUCAAAUAUUUAUAGGAUCAAGAUGGGCAUGCGGAACAUUAGCUAGUUGGUAAGGUAAUGGCUUACCAAGGCUACGAUGUUUAGGGGAUCUGAGAGGAUGACCCCCCACACUGGUACUGAGACACGGACCAGACUCCUACGGGAGGCAGCAGUAAGGAAUAUUGGUCAAUGGGCGCAAGCCUGAACCAGCCAUGCCGCGUGCAGGAAGACGGCCCUACGGGUUGUAAACUGCUUUUGUACCGGAAUAAACCCUGAUAUGUAUAUCAGGCUGAAUGUACGGUAAGAAUAAGGAUCGGCUAACUCCGUGCCAGCAGCCGCGGUAAUACGGAGGAUCCAAGCGUUAUCCGGAUUUAUUGGGUUUAAAGGGUGCGUAGGCGGCCUAUUAAGUCAGGGGUGAAAGACGGUAGCUUAACUAUCGCAGUGCCUUUGAUACUGAUAGGCUUGAAUACACUUGAGGUAGGCGGAAUGUGACAAGUAGCGGUGAAAUGCAUAGAUAUGUCACAGAACACCAAUUGCGAAGGCAGCUUACUAAAGUGAGAUUGACGCUGAGGCACGAAAGCGUGGGGAUCAAACAGGAUUAGAUACCCUGGUAGUCCACGCCCUAAACGAUGAAUACUCGAUGUUGGCGAUAUACGGUCAGCGUCUAAGCGAAAGCGUUAAGUAUUCCACCUGGGGAGUACGCCCGCAAGGGUGAAACUCAAAGGAAUUGACGGGGGCCCGCACAAGCGGAGGAGCAUGUGGUUUAAUUCGAUGAUACGCGAGGAACCUUACCCGGGCUUGAAAGUUAGUGAAUGAGACAGAGACGUCUCAGUCCUUCGGGACACGAAACUAGGUGCUGCAUGGCUGUCGUCAGCUCGUGCCGUGAGGUGUUGGGUUAAGUCCCGCAACGAGCGCAACCCCUAUGUUUAGUUGCCAGCACGUUAAGGUGGGGACUCUAAACAGACUGCCUAUGCAAAUAGAGAGGAAGGAGGGGACGACGUCAAGUCAUCAUGGCCCUUACGUCCGGGGCUACACACGUGCUACAAUGGAUGGUACAGCGGGCAGCUACCUGGCAACAGGAUGCCAAUCUCGUAAAGCCAUUCACAGUUCGGAUCGGGGUCUGCAACUCGACCCCGUGAAGUUGGAUUCGCUAGUAAUCGCAUAUCAGCAAUGAUGCGGUGAAUACGUUCCCGGGCCUUGUACACACCGCCCGUCAAGCCAUGGAAGUUGGAAGUGCCUGAAGUGCGUAACCGCAAGGAGCGUCCUAGGGUAAAGUCGAUAACUGGGGCUAAGUCGUAACAAGGUAGCCGUACCGGAAGGUGUGGCUGGAAUACCUCCUUUCU